AACCCUCCACUUCUGCUCCUCUCUUUAUAUUCUCAUACUUUGGACGCUCAUCCUCACCUCCCAUCUUCACCUCCUGCUCUCUUUCUCUCUGUCUCUCUCUAUUUCUCUGUCUCUGAAACUUUCUUUCUCUGGAGAAGAUGAAGAUGACUUCCACUGGGUUUAAAGUUGUGAUGAUGCUGGCUUUGUUGGCCACCUCAUGCAUGGCACAAGCUCCAGGAGCAUCUCCAACACCGACACCCACACCCCCAGCGACCUCGCCUGCACCAUCAUCUCCGCCGUCCACUCCAGUUCCAUCUCCGGCACCAUCCUCUCCACCUACUUCAUCUCCAGCUCCUUCUCCCACCACUGGCUCAACCCCAUCACCCACUCCUUCUCCCUCCUCCACCUCACCUUCCACACCCCCUACUACUACACCAUCUCCUUCUCCCAGCAUCGCUUCUCCUCCGGCACCGCCGACAUCCGGUUCCCGUUCACCCCCUACUGCAACCCCUACUGAAUCACCCAACGCAGCUUCGCUGAUGGUUGGUUGAACAGAGUCGUCAUUGCCGGAACUGCCCU
rnacentral:lncRNA from 1 species